rnacentral:tRNA from 1 species
GACUGCGUAGCUCAGUUGGCAGAGCAUUCGGCUUUUAACCGAAGGGUCGCGAGUUCGAGGCUCGCCGCAGUCACCA